rnacentral:rRNA from 1 species
GACGAACGCUGGCGGCGUGCUUAACACAUGCAAGCCGAACGAAGAGCGAUGGAAGCUUGCUUCUAUCAAUCUUAGUGGCGAACGGGUGAGUAACGCGUAAUCAACCUGCCCUUCAGAGGGGGACAACAGUUGGAAACGACUGCUAAUACCGCAUACGAUCUGACCUCGGCAUCGAGGAUAGAUGAAAGGUGGCCUCUACAUGUAAGCUAUCACUGAAGGAGGGGAUUGCGUCUGAUUAGCUAGUUGGAGGGGUAACGGCCCACCAAGGCGAUGAUCAGUAGCCGGUCUGAGAGGAUGAACGGCCACAUUGGGACUGAGACACGGCCCAGACUCCUACGGGAGGCAGCAGUGGGGAAUCUUCCGCAAUGGACGAAAGUCUGACGGAGCAACGCCGCGUGAGUGAUGACGGCCUUCGGGUUGUAAAGCUCUGUUAAUCGGGACGAAAGGCCUUUUUGCGAAUAGUGAGAAGGAUUGACGGUACCGGAAUAGAAAGCCACGGCUAACUACGUG